rnacentral:rRNA from 1 species
GACGAACGCUGGCGGCAGGCCUAACACAUGCACGUCGAACGAGUGGCGGACGGGUGAGUAAUGUCUGGGAAACUGCCUGAUGGAGGGGGAUAACUACUGGAAACGGUAGCUAAUACCGCAUACCAUCGGAUGUGCCCAGAUGGGAAUAGCUAGUAGGUGGGGUAAAGGCUCACCUAGGCGACGAUCCCUAACUGGUCUGAGCGGAUGACCAGCCAAACUGGAACUGAGACACGGUCCAGACUCUUACGGGAGGCAGCAGUGGGGAAUAUUGCACGAUGGGCGGAAGCCUGAUGCAGCCAUGCCGCGUGGAUGAAGAAGGCCUUCGGGUUGUAAAGUACUUUCAGCGGGGAGGCGUUACUCGCAGAAGAAGCACCGGCUAACUCCGUGCCAGCAGCCGCGGUAAUUC